rnacentral:rRNA from 1 species
CCUACGGGUGGCUGCAGUGGGGAAUAUUGGGCAAUGGGCGCAAGCCUGACCCAGCAACGCCGCGUGAGGGAAGAAGGCUCUCGGGUUGUAAACUUCUUUUAUCAGGGACGAAGCAAGUGACGGUACCUGAUGAAUAAGCCACGAAUAACGACGUGCCAGCCGCCGCGGUAAUACGUAGGUGGCAAGUGUUAUCAGGAUUUAAUGGGUGUAAAGGGAGAGUAGGCGGGAAAACAAGUCAGAAGUGAAAACCAUGGGCUCAACCGGGGGCCUGCAUUUGAAACUGUUUUUCUGGAGUACUGGAGAGGCAGACGGAAUUCCUAGUGUAGCGGUGAAAUGCGUAGAUAUUAGGAGGAACACCAGUGGCGAAGGCGGUUUGCUGGACAGCAACUGACGCUGAGGCGCGAAAGCGUGGGGAGCAAACAGGAUUAGAUACCCGUGUAGUC